CAACAAUGGAGGCCAAUAUUGGACAGAGAGUAAGAGGGGUGAGAACUAGAGGAGGAGAAGGAAGAGAUGAAGUAGGGUGGGGAAGAGGAAGGGGAGUCAGGAACACAAAAACGGAUGAAAUCAGAGCGACUGUGGUUGACCAUGUUGUCAACCAUCGGAUGAGCAUGAGGGAGGCUGGGCAACGGGUUCAACCAAAUCUGAGCCACUAUACUGUUGCAGGUAUCAUCCGGAUAUUUCGAAAUGAAAACCGAAGUGCAAGAAAACCAGUAUCUGGUGGAAGAGGUCGACUGUUCAGCCCAGAGCAGGAGACCCACAUUGUAAAUAUGGUCAUUGCAAAUAACUGCAUCAGACUCAGAGAACUGCAGGACCACAUAAUGGCAGAUAACACCAUAUUCCAAAACGUCAACAGAAGAGUCGUGGAGCUAGAAGCAGAUUGCAGUGCAUCAUGAGCUAAUAUAUGUGGACGAGGCAGGUUUCAACCUUGCAAAUACAAGGGGCUGCGGCAGAAAUAUCAUCGGACACCGUGUCAUCAUCAACGUCCCGGGACAACGUGGUGGCAACAUAACAAUGUCAAAACGGCGUCCUUCACCAUCAUGCGAUCCUAGGCCCAUAAAACACUGCACGACAUUCCAGGCGAUACUUUUCACGCUGCCUAGCUCAAGACAACAUCGCAUGUGAUGUGGAUGAAGUCUUAACGGUCAGACCCACAAAGGCAAAAUUUCUAGCACAAAUGUUUUUGUUUUCUUCUUACUGCGCUUUUGUUGCUUGAGGAGUGUUGGAACAUUAGGAGAGAGAAAAAAUAUUUACUUUUGUCCCUUAUUUGUAUUGAUAGUGUGUUAAGUUCGGAGUACACAUCCAUACUUUACACAUUUGGAUACCUGUGUGUAUGUGUGUUUACUACAUGUAUGACAAACCUUUAUUAAAAAACUGCCGUGCCC
ensembl:lncRNA